rnacentral:rRNA from 1 species
GCUAUAACGCUCGGCGGCGUGCCUAAUACAUGCAAGUCGAGCGGACAGAAGGGAGCUUGCUCCCGGAUGUUAGCGGCGGACGGGUGAGUAACACGUGGGUAACCUGCCUGUAAGACUGGGAUAACUCCGGGAAACCGGAGCUAAUACCGGAUAGUUCCUUGAACCGCAUGGUUCAAGGAUGAAAGACGGUUUCGGCUGUCACUUACAGAUGGACCCGCGGCGCAUUAGCUAGUUGGUGGGGUAAUGGCUCACCAAGGCGACGAUGCGUAGCCGACCUGAGAGGGUGAUCGGCCACACUGGGACUGAGACACGGCCCAACUCCUACGGGAGGCAGCAGUAGGGAAUCUUCCGCAAUGGACGAAAGUCUGACGGAGCAACGCCGCGUGAGUGAUGAAGGUUUUCGGAUCGUAAAGCUCUGUUGUUAGGGAAGAACAAGUGCGAGAGUACUGCUCGCACCUUGA